rnacentral:tRNA from 1 species
GAAUCGGUGGUUCAGUGGUAGAAUGCUCGCCUGCCACCCGGGCGGCCCAGGUUCGAUUCCCGGCCGAUGCA